UCAUAAAUGCCAGCAAAAAAUCUUCACUGGAGACACUAACCACUCAUUUUGGGGGUUGGGUGCUGGAGAAAUGUUCAUUGUUUGGUGCCUAGUAAGAAGCUUUGAUGAGCUUGAGAUAUGCUGAAGUCCUUUCACAAUGCUAUGAUCAAUUGCUGGAUCAAAGUACAUGUAGAGUUUGAUAGUCCUUUGGGCAUAAUUCUAAAUUGUUCUCUCCAAUGGCUGGAUCAGUUAAAAACUUCCAUCAGUAGUGGUUUUCCCUCAUUUUCCCACAGCCCUUCGUGUAUGCAUCAUUUUCCAUUUUUUUGUCAGAUUAUUCAGUCAGCUAGAUAUUAAAGGCUUAAACAUGUAAGUGUGAUCACUAGAGUUCUAUAGUCUAAUUGCAUUCUUCCUCUAAUUAUCCCAUUUUCACGAUGCUUUAUGAGGGGAAUGGAAUUCAUGAAAGAUUAAGCAAAAAUCCAGUGAUUGAAUAGUAAGAUAGAAUACAAUAAAUAAAAUAAGUAAAGAUUUCAUCUCUGUAAAUCAAGAGAAUAUGUGGAAUGUAAUGGGCAUAGGGGAGUGGAGAGUAGUUUAUUCCUUAUUUUUAAAUUGCAAGGCUAUACUUGACAUGGAAAUCAGGUUAGGGUUGAUUACAAUUGCUAUCCCAGGCCAUUCACUACUCUAUCCCCCUCCAUGGAGCUUUAGAGAGGAAAGUGGGGGUAGGUGAAGCAAUACAACAAAUUCCUAGUAAAAUAAGAGGAUGGGUAGUUUGUACAUCAGGAUAAAUUAGGCGCAACUGUGUAUGUAUGGGUGGAGGGUAUCAUUUAUUUGCAAUUCCAGCCUCCUACAUGAAAUAAGAAACAACUCCGGAGAAUCAUUCACCAUACCAACUACUGUUCACUCUCUUACUUGGCACAACUUCAUAGAUAAUUAUGGAGAAAUAAUCUCAAGGAGGUCACACAUACACAAUAUGCAAAAGCCAGAUUCACACCAGGAACUUGAUGCUAGAAUUAUAUUUGGGUUAGAGAAAGGGGAUUACAAGGAUUAAUAGUGAUGGUCUUCUCAAUACUUCAGUUGGUUCAAGAAGUUCUCUGACUUAUCUACAGCA